rnacentral:rRNA from 1 species
AUUGAACGCUGGCGGAAUGCUUUACACAUGCAAGUCGAACGGUAGAGGGGGCAACCCCUCGAGAGUGGCGAACGGGUGAGUAAUAUAUCGGAACGUGCCCAGUCGUGGGGGAUAACGUAGCGAAAGUUACGCUAAUACCGCAUACGAUCUACGGAUGAAAGCGGGGGAUCGCAAGACCUCGCGCGAUUGGAGCGGCCGAUAUCAGAUUAGGUAGUUGGUGGGGUAAAGGCUCACCAAGCCAACGAUCUGUAGCUGGUCUGAGAGGACGACCAGCCACACUGGAACUGAGACACGGUCCAGACUCCUACGGGAGGCAGCAGUGGGGAAUAUUGCACAAUGGACGAAAGUCUGAUGCAGCAACGCCGCGUGGAGGAUGACACAUUUCGGUGCGUAAACUCCUUUUAUAUAGGAAGAUAAU